CAGUAGCCGCGGUAAUACGUAGGGUGCAAGCGUUAAUCGGAAUUACUGGGCGUAAAGGGUGCGUAGGCGGCUUGACAAGUCUUGUGUGAAAUCUAUGGGCUCAACCCAUAGUCUGCACGGGAAACUGUCGGGCUUGAGAAUGGGAGAGGUGAGUGGAAUUUCCGGUGUAGCGGUGAAAUGCGUAGAUAUCGGAAGGAACACCUGUGGCGAAAGCGGCUCACUGGACAAUAACUGACGCUGAUGCACGAAAGCUAGGGGAGCAAACAGGAUUAGAGACCCCAGUAGUCCCUGUCUCUUAUAC
rnacentral:rRNA from 1 species